CUUCAAUUCAGAAACUCACACACAUACGCACACAUUCACAUAGCACUUCUUGUAGACCGCAACAUAGCAGUAGGCAGUGGGAUUCCCGUGUACGGUCGCCGCUAGAAAAGCCAUUUGAGGAUCCACCGUGGACGCUCGCCGCCACCUGAAUCAGCACACGUUACCUAGCACACACUGAGCGAUUAUCGCAUACGGCGAAAGUGCACUUCACACUGUUUGCAAAGAUGACGAUGAUGACGACGACGACGACGAUGGCGGUGGUGGUAGUAGUGGAGGUGAUUCUGUCACUAAAGGGCUAAAGUGAACGCCUUGCUCACCGAUUGAUGACUCUGCCUGAAGGUGUCCACGAGCCUCUUGGCAUACGCUUGAAUGUGUCUGUCCGGUUCGAUGUUUUCCGGUGAAAAUGGGUUCGAUUAACACGCUUCCUGUUUCCUGUUUGCGGCUAGGUGGUGUUUUUCAGCCGGUGUAAGGAUUGUACAGUACAGCCGAUGUCCUUCUGUGACCGACCAGCCCACCAGCCCUGAGAGAUUGGCAACAAAAAUGGAUACCAACCACUCUCGCUCACACUCUGCCUAACGCGUUCACAUAAAUGCACACAUACACACACACUCACACGAGCGGGACUGCACAGUCACCAUAGCAGGCAGCGAGAUCGCCGCAGCCAGUUGACGUUUUCGCUUCUUUCUCUGUCGCCCUGCGCUUUCCACCCGGAGCGGAGGAUGACCUCUUUCACCGUAAUUGAACAAAGCGGGACGCGUCACAGAUUGGGUGACACGAGAGUGCGGUACGGUGUCGGUUAUGAUUGGUAUGUUUUUUUUUUUCGUUACUUCCGCACCGAAUUAAAAGGGAUAUCCCGGUGUACACAAAUAAACACUAGCACACACACACAUACACACACGCGCAUACAGGUACGCAACGUAUGAAAUACGCUCGGUCAAACAAGUCGAAUAAAGAGCGGAAACUACA